CCAAUAGCGUAUAUUAAAGUUGUUGCAGUUAAAAAGCUCGUAGUUGAAUUUUGGAUUCUACCAAUCGGUCCAUCUUUUGAUGAGUACUGGUUGUGUGGGGUCUAUCCGCCUGGUAAUACGUAAUGUCCUUUAUUGGAUGUUGCGGGUAGUCAGGACCUUUACCUUGAAAAAAUUAGAGUGUUUAAAGCAGGCUUAUGCCGGAAUACAUUAGCAUGGAAUAAUAGAAUAGGACGAAGUUGUUUUAUUUUGUUGGUUUCUAGGACAACCGUAAUGAUUAAUAGGGAUAGUUGGGGGCAUUAGUAUUCAAUUGGCAGAGGUGAAAUUCUUGGAUUUAUUGAAGACUAACUAUUGCGAAAGCAUUUGCCAAGGAUGUUUUCAUUAAUCAAGAACGAAAGUUAGGGGAUCGAAGACGAUCAGAUACCGUCGUAGUCUUAACCAUAAACUAUGCCGACUAGGGAUCGGGCGAUGUUGUUUCAAUGACUCGCUCGGCACCUUAUG
rnacentral:misc_RNA from 1 species